rnacentral:rRNA from 1 species
UUAAAUAUUAAUUUAUUAAAUUUAAAAAAAUUGACGGUAUUUUAAAUUUAGAUGAACUUAAAUUUUAAUUUGAUAAUCCACAUUUAAACUUACUAAUAUUUAUAUUUUUAUAUAUUACUGUUUAAAUUUAAUUAUUUAAUUAAAAUUUAAAAUUUUAUAUUAAAAAAAUUCAAGUCAAAAUAUAAAUUAUAAAUUAGAACAUUAAGAGUUACUUUGAAAUUUAAAUAAUUUAAUUUACAAAUAAUUAAAUUUAAAUAUUUAAAUAAAUUUAAAUUUUAAUUUAAUUAGAAUUUAAUAAUAAAAAUUUUUAAAUAAAAAUUUUAAAAAUUACAUUUAAAAUAUGUACAUAUUGCCCGUCAUUUUUAUAAAAUUAUUAUUAUAAAACAAGUCGUAACAAAGUAAUUUUACUGGAAAGUUAAAUUAGAAUU